UGUGAGGGGUGGCUGGCUGCCUGGUUACCGUAACUAAGAAGUUAAGAAGGUAAAAAAAUCGGAUGUACGGGCGCUUGCGGCUGGGCUCAGAUGUCUCCUACAGAAGAGCGCGCCGUGGAAAGGUGAAACUGAUAAGGAGACCCAAGGUCGAUACGAGGAAAGAAGUAAGAGCCAGAAGAGAGUGAUGCCGCUCGGUCCGCCCGCCCGCCCUCCCUCCCUCCCUACCUCCCUCCCUCUCGCCGAGCCCUGCAGGCUCCUCAACAUCACACGAACAGACAAUGAUGAACUCAAGAAGCCUAUUUAUAGAUUGGCCGACACCAGCCCUCUGUUUCUGCUCUGUGGACGUCCGCCGUUGUUGUGCAUGUGCACAUGUGAUUAUGCUCAUGACAGGGAGGGAGAAGAGAGGAGAGGAGUGACAGAGACUCAGUGGAGUUAAUCCAGAGGAAGGGGCGGAGGAGGAGGAGAGGAUAAGAGGCAGGGACGAGGCUUUGAACCAUCCUUCAGGCUACAGAGGAGUGCUGAUUGCUUGUUGGAGUCUCAUACAGGAAUUCAGCCCUGUCUUUUUUCUUUUUUUUUUCUUUGCAUUUGACCUGAGUGGAAGCCAGGACUCCUCCCGUGCAAAUGAUCUCCCCUUUGGCAGCGUUUUUUUUUCACAGAAGCUUUGCCAGGUUCUACGGUGAGGAGGAAGAGCUGGAGGAGGCCUCGAUCUCACUGACUGUCACCGACCAUGAGCGGGGGGGGUGAACGUCAAAGUCAUACCUCAGAGUCAGAGCGACGCAGGCGUCGGCUCGAGUCUGCCUCUACCCCGAAGCAUGGUGCCGCUCUCCAAGGUGGAUGCCAAACAGCAAUACGGCGCCGCCCCCGAUCCGACGGGACAGCGUCAACAUGCAGCCGGACGACAGGCGCCUUCCUUCUCCUCCUCUCCCGUGUCCUCGGGUCCCGCAGAGCUGCUGAGAGGUGCCGCGUUAAAGAACCACCUGCUGCAGCAGAAGACCGCCUUGUACUCCCCCAGGGGCCCGGCGGCUACGGAGCGGACUGAUGGAACCUGCUCGGCCUACAGCAGCCCCCGGAUACCAAAGAGGGAGGUCAUACGCUCCAAGGACACGCUGGACCUCCGGGCCGGCACGCUGAGCCAGGCGGCUGUGCGAGACCUCCAGUUGAGACGGACCACCAACAAGAACUGGACCUUUGGAAAAUACCGCCUGAAGAGUGUGGACAACGCAGCCGAGGGGGACGCCUUGUGUCGGCUCUCUGCUAGUGUGUCCCAGCCGGGACACGGAAGAGGACGUCUCUUUUGUACCAAAGGUGCAAAUGGAAACGAGCUACCCGGUGUGUCGACCUCUGAGAUGGGCGAUAUCCAAAAAGAGGUGAGGAACAGUUCCUACCAGCACCUGGGAGCUUCAGAAAGAGGCGUGUCCAGCAGAAAACCAAAAUCUUCUUAUCACACAUUCAACAUUCCACGCCGAGGGAGUGAGCCAGGACAAGUCAACGCGGCCGCCGUCGCUUCCUUCCGGUUCAGGUUUCAGGUCCAUGAGGACGCCGACCCCGCCCUGGAUGACCUCAGUGACUGUUCCUCGGACUCCAUGGAGGUCUGCUGCGACGAGUUCGGUGAGCUUCUUUGA
ensembl:lncRNA